UGGCAGAUUCCUGUCCCAGAUACACCGGGUACUGGCCACCAUUUUCCCAAUGAUGCCAGGCCCAGAGCUACCAAAUACCUACUAGGAGACACAGGGUGGCAAGAGGAGGACUCCAGGGGAAGGCCUGUGUGACUAGGCUACCAUUCCAGGCUCAACUCUGGCGAGGAACAAUCUAAGGUGUGCUCCUCCCUCCAGCCCCACACUGCUGGCAGCAAGGCUGCAGCUCAGACUAAUUCCAGGUACAUUCUAUAGGUGGCAUCAUGCUACUGGAAAUGGCCUCCUUGGAGAAAGAGGCUCUCUUGUCAGCAUCUCCAGGCACUGGCGAGCCGAGGCAAGGUUGACACAAUCACAGUCUAAACUGCGCGGAGAAGGACACCUGAGGGGCGAUGGGCGCUGGUGGUGAAAUCAGAAGAGUCGAGAACGCAGCUGGCGGAGAGGGAUGAGAGAGAAACUUGCAGAAAGGGAAAAAUAAAGCACCAAGUCUACAGGCA